ACGGCGAGUGAAGCGGCAACAGCUCAAAUUUGAAAGCUGGCCCUUUCAGGGUCCGCGUUGUAAUUUGUAGAGGAUGAUUCGGCGAGGGCUCCCGCCUAAGUCCCCUGGAACGGGGCGUCAUAGAGGGUGAGAAUCCCGUAUGCGGUGGGCUGCCUUAGCCAUGUGAAUCUCCUUCGACGAGUCGAGUUGUUUGGGAAUGCAGCUCUAAAUGGGAGGUAAAUUUCUUCUAAAGCUAAAUACCGGCCAGAGACCGAUAGCGCACAAGUAGAGUGAUCGAAAGAUGAAAAGCACUUUGGAAAGAGAGUUAAAAAGUACGUGAAAUUGUUGAAAGGGAAGCGCUUGCAACCAGACUUGUCCGCAGUUGCUCAGCCGGUCUCCUGACCGGCGUACUCUUCUGCGGCCAGGCCAGCAUCAGUUCGGGCGGUCGGAUAAAGACCUCGGGAAUGUGGCUCCUCUCGGGGAGUGUUAUAGCCCGGGGUGGAAUGCGGCCAGCCUGGACUGAGGAUCUCGCUUCGGCAAGGAUGCUGGCGUAAUGGUUGUAAGCGGCCCGUCUUGAAACACGGACCAAGGAGUCUAACAUCUAUGCGAGUGU
rnacentral:rRNA from 1 species